AAAAGCAGGAAUAAAGCUGAACAGGAAUACCAGUCACCUGCCCCUCUUGAGAACAUGGUAGUGUUCUUAUAGAUUAGGAGUUAACCUGUACAGAUUCACCGGAUGCCUCGAGGAAGCUUUUCUGCGCAGAAACUAAUGUAAAGGCAGCUCCUCUUACUGACCCAGUACACUGUCAAUCAAGACAAAGACCACAGAGAUGAGAGAAUGGAACUGGACUGCUAUACACCCUGGACCAGAGGUAUGCAAAUCACAUCUGCUUCUGAGGAUUCCCCUCUUGUCCCUCAGCUCAACCAAGUCUAGUCUCGCCUUUGGCAGUCAUCCUAGUCUGCUGAGGCCAAAUGAGGUGCUUUGUCAAAGUGUCCUGGGACAGCGGCAGAAGAGUGACUGCUCAUCUGUGGUCACCCCGGUCCUCACUGCAAUAAUCUGGUCUGCUCUGCAUAUUUCGCUUAUCCAGGUCUAUUUUCCUUUAACACAGCGAGACAAUCUUCUAACUUCUUUCUUGUCUCACUUCAUCAACCACUUCUUGCUGGCCUACAUUAAAUAACAGUGGGAACAGCAGAUGCUUUGGUGAUGCUCAGACUUGGAAACAGCAGUUUAGUGGAGGAACAGUUUUCAAGGUUGUUGAAGUGAAAGUUUUCAACAAUGUUGUAGGGCUAAGGGACCCACCUGGAGCCGGGAGCGUCUGGGUACAAACACUGCAGGAGGGCAGAGCUCAUGACCUUCCUUAACACCAGUUCUCACAGCUCCAUCACUGCAGGGUGUGUCCUGAGAGCUGUGCUUUAGGGACCUGUCACUAAGUCAUCAGUGGCCUUGACCUAGGUUUUUUGACCUUGACAUUUGACUUUCUGACCAAUGUCUUGUUUGGAAAAAAAUUUUUUUAAAAGAUUUAUUUUAUUCAUUAUGUAUACAGUGUUCUGCCUACAUG